AGACACCAAUAGUUCUCAAAGUUGUGUCACCAGACAGCAUCAGAGGGGCUCCCCCAAAGAGGAGAUUGGACCGAGGCACAGAAAAAGAACUUCGGGAGAGAGACUCAGCUAAAAAUCUAGAAGGGUAAAAGAAAACAAGUUUUCCUCUCCUACCAUAACAAACCUGAAGCUGAGUUUUCAUGUGAAAAAUUACAAAUGCAGCCCUCCUUGACAACGGAAAGCAUCAACAUGGAAAAAUGGACAACAUGAUAUACUAUAUAAUGGGUGAAACAUUUUGAUUUCCUUCAGCUGCCACUUGCUUCUUCCGAUCCAUGGACUUCGGACCCUCCUAAGAACCUGUACACGAGUCUUCCUCACACCAAUCAACUCAGAAAACACAUCCAACCUGAAACUUCCAGGUUGAAAAUAAAGGGCCUUAGAUACUGGUCCCGAGGCUAACACCAGCUGUUAAAACUUGACCUCUCUGUUUCAACUUCAUCUUCAUUAAAAGAGAGAUAACCUCUAUAGUUUUUCUUCCUCCACAAAAGGUUGCUGAAGGAAAAAACAAGAUCCAUGAAAUUUGGAAAAUUUUAAAUAGUGCCUCCCAAAUACAAGAUGAAAUUUGGUCGAUGCGACAUUAUAUUAAA